AAGCACAUCAGUAGUUUUAUGGAUUCAGGCCCCAUUAUGCGGCUAUCAAAUUGACCGUGGUGCCAGAGCUGGAUCCUCCGCCGACUUUCCUCUCCGUUUCAUUUGAGGAAAGGGAGGACUACAACCCUUUGAAGCAUUCUGGGAUUCGUGCCAUCUGAACUGAAGAUUUUCCAGCUGUUUCCCUGUCGCGGUUCGCGGCAGAUGGGACUCGAGACCGUCUUGGAAGCCCAAUGUUGUCUUCAGCUAUAGGUCAGCUAGGUUACAUGCAUAUUGUGCACGAAUGCCUAUUAUUUAAAUACUAUCAGAACCAUGACUGAUUAUGAGAGAGCAAAUGUGUUUAUAAGGAGGCUAAGAAUGUUGUUUUCUCUCUCUCCCUAGCCACACAGCUGUCUGCAGGACCGCAGGGAUUUUCCAGUUUUUAAAUCGUGCUGCUUAAAAAAAAAAAAAAAAAUGACGCAGUGAAGUGCUAGUGUAGGCUACUUCAAUGCGUUAAACUUUUGCAGACUUUUUGAACUGAGCCUUACCCCUCUUGUCCAAGUGGGACUGGCUGUUCAUCCAUUCUAACGUAAGCGUAAGGGGAAAUAAGUUACAUUUUAACUUCCCCAACCAGAUUUCUGGCAGACAGUAUAUGAGCAACUUGGGAAUUUGACCGCAUUUCAGACAUUUUUUUUUUAGAAUGUGACAUUCAUUUCGCUUUGCGCUCUGAAUUGUCUACCGCGGACAGAAUCAUGGGCAGCGGUGGUAGUAGGGGAAAGAAGGUUGCACCUGCGGCUGUCACAGAAGUAAACGUGUAUCAAGCGGAGAAGGACAGCGCCGAGUGCGAACAGAAAGACGGUGAGUUAUUCAAACCUUUCAAAAUUCAGAAACUAGCCGACUUCAAUAGGUCCUGGAGCAGAGCGCGACCCGACUGCCACAGUGAGGGAAACGACUCCGAAUUUUCAGCCGAGGACGACGAUAUUGAGGUAGAGCUGGAUCGGGUGAUGGCAGAGUAUGAAAACCGGCGGUUUAAUUCCAAAAAGGGCUCACGGAAGAAGUCUUUUGAGAGGAGUAAAACUUACGGAUUUUGUAACACCAGCAGAGCGUACAGUGGAGGCGAUUUCACAUCAGCUCCUCAGUUUCACAGCUCGGAACCACCUGGAAGGACUCGCCACCCUAGUAACACCGGUUCUGUAAGAGCCAGCGACAAGGAACUAUCUACCUUCAACCAGACAUGGCCGAAUACACAUUAUGACCCCAACACCCAUAGCAAAACGUUUCAGGACCCACCGGCGAUUCGAAAAUCUGAGGACCAGGUUCUUGCUGAGGAGAUAGCCCUAGUCCCCGGUUGCUGUGACGCGCCUGACCUUACCCUGCCUGUCAUCCUGUAUAACGGUUCCGAGGAGGAUUUGAUGGAAACAAUCGAAAGGGAAUUCAGCUGAGGGAGGUUACAAGAAAUCUUUCACAAUGCCCCAUUGUAUUUUACUUCUUUAAGGACUAACAAAAAUUACGACUUCUGCAGAGCGGGGGUACUGUGGAAGAUGACAUUAUUGACUAAAAAUGUUUAAAACCGUAUGCGGACGUGCCUGAAAUGAACCUUAUUCAAUAUGUGAACAUGAUUUUAUGAUGAAUUUUAAAUGAACGAAAUGUGUAUAAUGUUCAUGAGUAUGUGAUUCAACUGCAAAGCUUAAAGACUUAUUUCUGUGCACAUACUUCAUACAUGCAUAUAUUAUACAUACAUGUUACCAGGUAAAUGAAAAGGGGAAUGUUGUGUAAGUAAUAAAAUUAAUCAUGCCUCUGUAAAGUUAUUACAAAAUAUUCUAAAGAAAAUAGUGGCUUUGAAUUCUGGUGCACAGCUGGGCAGUUGAGAGCUUUGCUGAGUUUAUCUGCUGGGCACUGUGUUGUCACAACCCAUUGGAGGUCUGGCAGUUUGCCUUUGGAAAGUGUCAGUUGCCACUGGUUACUGUGACUCACCUGUAAGUACCAACACAGUCACAAAGCUGUUUUCUAUCUGUUGCUAUGGUGAUGUGACUAGGCUACUCUUGAGAAUAUUUAACAAGAGCUAGUCACUCCUCCGAGUUAAUCUGGUAAAUGUUUACUUAUUUUCAUAUGGAGUUGAUGUAGUUAUUUCUCUUUGCUGGGGGCAAACAUCACCCUUGAAAUUGUUUUUUAUGACUAUUUUAAUUAUUUGUCAACCAAAAAUAUUUUGUUGAAUAGAACCACAAUUAUUACCUCAGAAAAUGUAAAUAAAUAAAAUAGCCAAACUA